rnacentral:rRNA from 1 species
GCAGGCUUGAGUCUUGUAGAGGGGGGUAGAAUUCCAGGUGUAGCGGUGAAAUGCGUAGAGAUCUGGAGGAAUACCGGUGGCGAAGGCGGCCCCCUGGACAAAGACUGACGCUCAGGUGCGAAAGCGUGGGGAGCAAACAGGAUUAGAUACCCUGGUAGUCCACGCCGUAAACGAUGUCUACUUGGAGGUUGUGCCCUUGAGGCGUGGCUUCCGGAGCUAACGCGUUAAGUAGACCGCCUGGGGAGUACGGCCGCAAGGUUAAAACUCAAAUGAAUUGACGGGGGCCCGCACAAGCGGUGGAGCAUGUGGUUUAAUUCGAUGCAACGCGAAGAACCUUACCUGGUCUUGACAUCCACAGAACUUUCCAGAGAUGGAUUGGUGCCUUCGGGAACUGUGAGACAGGUGCUGCAUGGCUGUCGUCAGCUCGUGUUGUGAAAUGUUGGGUUAAGUCCCGCAACGAGCGCAACCCUUAUCCUUUGUUGCCAGCGGUCCGGCCGGGAACUCAAAGGAGACUGCCAGUGAUAAACUGGAGGAAGGUGGGGAUGACGUCAAGUCAUCAUGGCCCUUACGACCAGGGCUACACACGUGCUACAAUGGCGCAUACAAAGAGAAGCGACCUCGCGAGAGCAAGCGGACCUCAUAAAGUGCGUCGUAGUCCGGAUUGGAGUCUGCAACUCGACUCCAUGAAGUCGGAAUCGCUAGUAAUCGUGGAUCAGAAUGCCACGGUGAAUACGUUCCCGGGCCUUGUACACACCGCCCGUCACACCAUGGGAGUGGGUUGCAAAAGAAGUAGGUAGCUUAACCUUCGGGAGGGCGCUUACCACUUUGUGAUUCAUGACUGGGGUGAAGUCGUAACAAGGUAACCGUAGGGGAACCUGCGGUUGGAUCACCUCCUUACCUUAAAGAA